UUAAAUUCGUGCGAAAUAGUUGAAGUAUAAGGCUACGGUUUGCCGAAUGGUAGAGGCACGCUUAAAAGUAACCAAUUAGUAGUGUAUGUUUCGCACAAAGAUAUAAUAAUUUUUCAUAACAAUUUGAUCGUAAAAGAGUUUUAUUUUAGAUAAAAAAAAUACGGUAAAAUUGAUUAUGUACGAUACAUUUGAUUAAAAUCGUGAAAACAGAAAAUUUAUUUUUAAUAUGUUGUGCAACUUCAACAAUCGUAGUGAUGUUUUUUAAGCGUGUAUGUAUUUGUGCAAUUGAAAAAAAAAACAAAACAAAACAAAAAUCACUAAGUUGCGUAUUUCCAAUCGGAGUUUUGAUUGCCUGUAAAAGUAUAUAUUUCCCGAAAUUUAAUUGUGAUCCGGUUAAACUAUAGCGCUGGAUCGCGAUACUCGAGCAAGCUGUGGAUGCAAAAUGAAGCUAGCCUACCGCUUUCGCUGCCUCCACCAGCAACUAGAGUUAGACGAGGAACAGAUUCGAGAACAAACA